UACGUAGGGGGCAAGCGUUGUCCGGAAUCAUUGGGCGUAAAGCGCGUGUAGGCGGCUAGGUAAGUCUGCUCUGAAAGCCCGGGGCUCAACCCCGGGAGGCGGGUGGAUACUGUCUAGCUCGAGUCCGGAAGAGGAGUGUGGAAUUCCUGGUGUAGCGGUGAAAUGCGCAGAUAUCAGGAGGAACACCAAUGGCGAAGGCAGCUCGCUGGAACGGUACUGACGCUGAGGCGCGAAAGCGUGGGGAGCAAACAGG
rnacentral:rRNA from 1 species